rnacentral:rRNA from 1 species
UACGUAGGGGGCGAGCGUUGUCCGAAUUUACUGGGCGUAAAGCGCGUGUAGGCGGCCCUUUAAGUGAGAUGUGAAAUCCCGUGGCUCAACCACGGAACUGCAUUUCAAACUGGAGAGCUUGAGUUUGGGAGAGGAGAGUGGAAUUCCUGGUGUAGCGGUGAAAUGCGUAGAUAUCAGGAGGAACACCCGUGGCGAAGGCGGCUCUCUGGCCCAACACUGACGCUGAGACGCGAAAGCUAGGGGAG